GACGAACGCUGGCGGCGUGCUUAACACAUGCAAGUCGAACGGAAAGGCCCUGCUUUUGUGGGGUGCUCGAGUGGCGAAAGGGUGAGUAACACGUGAGUAACCUGCCCUUGACUUUGGGAUAACUUCAGGAAACUGGGGCUAAUACCGGAUAGGAGCUCCUGCUGCAUGGUGGGGGUUGGAAAGUUUCGGCGGUUGGGGAUGGACUCGCGGCUUAUCAGCUUGUUGGUGGGGUAGUGGCUUACCAAGGCGUUGACGGGUAGCCGGCCUGAGAGGGUGACCGGCCACAUUGGGACUGAGAUACGGCCCAGACUCCUACGGGAGGCAGCAGUGGGGAAUAUUGCACAAUGGGCGGAAGCCUGAUGCAGCAACGCCGCGUGCGGGAUGACGGCCUUCGGGUUGUAAACCGCUUUCGCCUGUGACGAAGCGUGAGUGACGGUAAUGGGUAAAGAAGCACCGGCUAACUACGUG
rnacentral:rRNA from 1 species